AUAAAUGUAAGUACUGAAACAAUAUACUGUAGAAAUUGCAGUCUCCAUCCCAGCAGUUGCCUAGGGAGAAUGGGCCAUUAUCCAUUACAAGUGUGCUUCUGAGAGAAAGACAGCUUGUGUUUGCAUGAUGUUCUCACCAGUAAUUCUGUACUCUGUAUUCUUUAACCCAUCACAAAACAUUUUCUCUAACCUAUCAUUCAUCCUCUUCAACCUUUUCUUCUUCCUCUUCCCUUUCUUCAUCUUUUUUUCAUUUUCUUCCUUCUCCACUUUCUGAAGGAGAACAGAACACCACCUGUGCUACUCCAGCUCUGGAAUGGGUUUUAUUUACCAUGAAUUUUCAGAGCUCUCUGAUUCAGAGCUCUCCAAUCAUGUACACCAAUUCUUUCAGAAACCAUGGAUACGGUUCAGGAACCAUGGAUACAAGGCCCAAUAUCUUGUCUCAAACAAGUUUUGUCAAGUGCUGGAUAGAGGUUAAUUCAUGGUCGAAUUCUUUGAAGAAUGUCUGAAAUGGCUGUUCUACAUUAUUGAUUAUUGUUCUACAUUAUUGAACUAGCAUGUCUGCUUUAGACACCAGAUAUACAAGAGACAGAACUAAACUUUUGAACUGAUGAAAAUACAUCUCUGAAUCCUUGGCAUAAUCAACUAAAAAUCAACAAACCUUUAUUAAGCACCAAUGUUCUAAGCUAUGUUAGGCUCUGUAGAAUACAAAGGCAAACAUAAAAUAAGCCCUGACUUCAAGUUUAUUUUUUUCUACAUACAUAUACAUCCAUCACACAUGGAUAUAUACACACAGAUACAUAAAUACACAUAUAAUUUAUAGAGGUAAGUUUAAUUUCUCCUUCUGAAAACUGCCUAUUCACAUCCUUUGACUCAGUUCUCUAUACAUCUGAAAAAUGAAGCCCUUUUCAGAGAAACUUGCUAUAAGGUAUUUCCCUAGUUCUUGCUUUCUUUCUAAUCUUAGCAGCACUGAUUUUGUUUGUGCAAAACCUUUUUAACUUCAUGUAAUCAAAAUUAUCCAUUUUUGCUUCCUUUGAUCCUGUCAUAUUUUGUCAUAGAUCCUCUUAACAAUAGCUCUGGCAUGUGCUUAGCAUUUUAAAAUGCUUAGCAUGUAUUUUAGCAUGUAUUAUCUCAUUUGAUCUUCACAAGAACUCUGUAGGGAAAGUGAUGGAAUCACAAAAAUUAGGAAGUCAGGAUUUGAACUGAAAUCUUUCUUAUUUCAUAUCUAAUAUUUUCACCACUGCCCUACAUAAAGAUGUUUCUCACAAAGCCUCUAUGCGGGCCAUGUAGAAUAUCUGAUUUUAAGAAGGCUCAUUAUGAUGAGUGCACCAAGAUGAAUGAACAAACUAUUGGAUUGUGUUAAGUUACUGUCCAUUUAAAGAUUAGAAAUGUUUGCUAACAUAGAGAAUUUCAUUUUAGUUUAGUUGCUGCCACAUUUCUCUUUCUGAUCAUAAUUAUCUAACAGGUCCAGCUGCUUAAGGGUACUCUCAGUUUGAAGUAAUAAAACAAUGUCAUCAACAUAGAGGAGGCUGCUUGUCUUUCUGUUUGCUAUGGUUGCAGGGCAUACAACAAGUUCAUUUAAUAGCUGUUUUGAGUUAUUUAAUAUAAAUGAAAAAAGAGUGCAAUCUGGGAUGCAGACCUACCUAUUGUGAAUUGGAAUUCCUCUGUCAAAAAAAAUUGUUUCUGCCCACUCUGCCUUUGGCCAUAAUGUUAUUUUUACAGAAUUAGAAAAAAAAAAUGAAUGAGCCUUAAAUGUAUUCCAAAGUUACAGUUUAGCCUACAGAUGAUCCCUUUUGCAAAAUUUAAGGCUUCUAGGAAACUGAUAAAUGUUGAAAGAAAAUCUUAUGUCUCUUCCAACCAUCUUCACAGUGUGAUUAAAUAGAACAGUAAUGAUAAGCUGUUAAUGCUUAUGUUAAAAACCUGACACAGUUCAACUCAACAAAUAUCUAUUUAAAAAACUACUAGAUGCAAUGCAUUAUGUUAGGUACUGUAGAUACAAAGAUGUUGUUCAGUCAUUUCAGUUUUUUUUUAAUCCCAUCUGAGGUUUUCUUGGCAAAGAUACUGAAGUAGUUUGCCAUUUCCUUUUCUAGGUCAUUUUUAAAGAUAAGGAGACUGAGAUCAACAUAGUUAAGUGACUUACCCAGGAUCUAUCACAAGCUAGAUAUUUUCUGAGGCCAGAUUUAAACUCUGAAAAAUGAGUCUUAACUCCAACUCUGGCAAUCUAUCCACUUUGCCAUCCAGCUGCCCAGUGGGGAAACUCAUUUCUAAUAAAUGGUGAUGGGGAAAAAGACCUUCAAACAAGUUAAGAGAAGUUAGAGAUUUUGGGUAGUUUGUAGGUUUGGAGGAGAUAUUCUUUAAAGUAUUAUUUCAUGGUUUCAAUCCAUAAUCCUGUGAAUGCAUGGAGGUGGAAGAGUUUAGUGUAAGACAGAUGAAAA
ensembl:lncRNA